CCUACGGGAGGCAGCAGUGGGGAAUAUUGCACAAUGGCGGAAACCCUGAUCCAGCGACGUCGCGUGAGUGAAGAAGUAUCUCUGUAUGUAAAGCUCUUUCAGCAGGGGAGAAAAUGACGGUACCUGACCAAGAAGCCCCGGCUAACUACGUGCCAGCAGCCGCGGUAAUACGGAGGGGGCAAGCGUUAUCCGGAUGUACUGGGUGUAAAGGGAGCGUAGACGGCAGGGCAAGUCUGGAGUGAAGGGGGGGGGCUCAACCCCGGGACUGCUCGGGGAACUGCCAGGCUGGAGUGCGGGAGAGGUAAGUGGAAUUCGUGGUGUAGCGGUGAAAUGCGUAGAUAUUAGGAAGAACACCAGUGGCGAAGGCGGCUUACUGGACUGUAACUGACGUUGAGGCUCGAAAGCGUGGGGAGCGAACAGGAUUAGAUACCCUAGUAGUC
rnacentral:rRNA from 1 species